rnacentral:rRNA from 1 species
UGGGGAAUAUUGGACAAUGGGCGAAAGCCUGAUCCAGCAAUACCGCGUGUGUGAAGAAGGCCUUCGGGUUGUAAAGCACUUUAAGUUGGGAAGAAAAAACUUUACCUAAUACGUGAAGUCUUGACGGUACCGACAGAAUAAGCACCGGCUAACUCUGUGCCAGCAGCCGCGGUAAUACAGAGGGUGCUAGCGUUAAUCGGAUUUACUGGGCGUAAAGCGUGCGUAGGUGGUUUGAUAAGUCGGUUGUGAAAGCCCCGGGCUCAACCUGGGAAUUGCGGCCGAUACUGUCAGACUCGAAAACGGUAGAGGGAGGUGGAACUCCAGGUGUAGCGGUGAAAUGCGUAGAUAUCUGGAAGAACAUCGAUGGCGAAGGCAGCCUCCUGGGCCUGUUUUGACACUGAGGCACGAAAGCGUGGGUAGCAAACA